UACGGAGGGUGCGAGCGUUGUCCGGAAUCACUGGGCGUAAAGGGCGCGUAGGCGGCCCUGGCAGUCGGUGGUGAAAGCCCGCGGCUCAACUGCGGGUCGGCCACCGAUACUCCAGGGCUCGAGUUUGGUAGAGGCAGAUGGAAUUCCGGGUGUAGCGGUGGAAUGCGUAGAGAUCCGGAAGAACACCGGUGGCGAAGGCGGUCUGCUGGGCCAAGACU
rnacentral:rRNA from 1 species